UCUGCUGCCACUGCAGGACCAGGCUGUAGGCAGAGCUCACAAUGCUUAAUAUGUAGGUGCAUGUAUGAGCAUAGAGAGUGAGGGCAAGAAGGACACUGAUGGAAUAAUCUGAGCUGGAAAAAGUGAAUUAGUCAUGUUUAUUAUUAAAGGUUCCUCUGGGUUUAGACUGCAGCAUCUGAUCAUGUAACUGUUCAGCACUGGAGUUGCAGGGGGAAAAGUGUGUGUCGGUGUGUGUACCGUCCUGCUGACAGCAGUGUCCUGGCUGUGAUGUGGACGGCUGAAGGUGCUGACAGGCCGCUGUUGUUUCACGGUCCUGCUGGGGGGAGUCGGGGCAGGUCGGGGCACAAACUCUCCCCCUCUGUCCCCACUGUGGCCUGGUCCGUUAGUUAAAUAUACAGGCCUCACCUCUUCACUGCUUAACCUCUAAUGGUAUUUGGAAAGUAUGUCUUUUCAUUUUUUUGCACUGGAGCGCAAUCUAUUUUUGUUGUUGCACAUCGUUAAGUUUAAAGCUGCCCUGAUCACUGACAUUGAAAUAAAAAGAAUAAAGAAUC